rnacentral:lncRNA from 10 species
AUUCAUUCUCCCUGAAUCUUACCAACAAAACACUCCUGAGGAGAAAGAAAGAGAGGGAGGGAGAGAAAAAGAGAGAGAGAGAAACAAAAAACCAAAGAGAGAGAAAAAAUGAAUUCAUCUAAAUCAUCUGAAACACAAUGCACAGAGAGAGGAUGCUUCUCUUCCCAAAUGUUCUUAUGGACUGUUGCUGGGAUCCCCAUCCUAUUUCUCAGUGCCUGUUUCAUCACCAGAUGUGUUGUGACAUUUCGCAUCUUUCAAACCUGUGAUGAGAAAAAGUUUCAGCUACCUGAGAAUUUCACAGAGCUCUCCUGCUACAAUUAUGGAUCAGGUAUAAUAGUCCCAAAGGUGAACAUCAAAAUUUACAAAGCAACAUUUUCUGGCUUCUAGAUUGACUUUGGGACAGGAAUUCCUUUCCUACAAGAAACCUAAAAUGAGAGAGUUUUUUAUUGGACUGUCAGACCAGGUUGUCGAGGGUCAGUGGCAAUGGGUGGACGGCACACCUUUGACAAAGUCUCUGAGCUUCUGGGAUGUAGGGGAGCCCAACAACAUAGCUACCCUGGAGGACU